UUGGCCACAACGAGUGCCCAGACCCUGGUAUACCCAUCAACGCUCGCCGCUUUGGAGACAGCUUCCAGCUUGGCAGCUCCAUUUCUGUGGUCUGCAAGGACGGUUUUAUCAAAACCCAGGGAACCGAGACAAUCUCCUGUCAGUUAGAAAGAGGAAAAGUCAUGUGGAGCGGGCCAAUUCCUAAAUGUGAAGGUUCCAGACUGAGCAGGGUUAUGACUUCCUGGAGAUCCAUGAUGGACCAAACCUCCUGUCUCCUAUGGUUGGCUCCUUUAAUGGCACCCAAGUGCCCCAGUUCCUAUUCAGCAGCACCAACUUUCUGUAUCUGCUGUUUACCACAGACAACAGCAGAUCAAAUGUGGGCUUCAAACUAUUGUAUGAAAGUGUUACAGUCGACAGCUACUCGUGCCUGGACCCUGGUAUCCCUGUCAACGGUAUCCGCUAUGGGCAGGAUUUCUCCAUCGGGUCCACAGUAUCAUUCGGUUGUGAUUCUGGGUACAGACUGAGCCACGAGGAGCCACUAGUAUGUGAGAAGAACCACUGGUGGAGCCACCCUUUACCUAAAACUGUGCCAGCCUCCUGUGAAUC